GGCGGCGUGCCUAAUACAUGCAAGUCGAACGAACUCUGGUAUUGAUUGGUGCUUGCAUCAUGAUUUACAUUUGAGUGAGUGGCGAACUGGUGAGUAACACGUGGGAAACCUGCCCAGAAGCGGGGGAUAACACCUGGAAACAGAUGCUAAUACCGCAUAACAACUUGGACCGCAUGGUCCGAGUUUGAAAGAUGGCUUCGGCUAUCACUUUUGGAUGGUCCCGCGGCGUAUUAGCUAGAUGGUGGGGUAACGGCUCACCAUGGCAAUGAUACGUAGCCGACCUGAGAGGGUAAUCGGCCACAUUGGGACUGAGACACGGCCCAAACUCCUACGGGAGGCAGCAGUAGGGAAUCUUCCACAAUGGACGAAAGUCUGAUGGAGCAACGCCGCGUGAGUGAAGAAGGGUUUCGGCUCGUAAAACUCUGUUGUUAAAGAAGAACAUAUCUGAGAGUAACUGUUCAGGUAUUGACGGUAUUUAACCAGAAAGCCACGGCUAACUACGUGCCAGCAGCCGCGGUAAUACGUAGGUGGCAAGCGUUGUCCGGAUUUAUUGGGCGUAAAGCGAGCGCAGGCGGUUUUUUAAGUCUGAUGUGAAAGCCUUCGGCUCAACCGAAGAAGUGCAUCGGAAACUGGGAAACUUGAGUGCAGAAGAGGACAGUGGAACUCCAUGUGUAGCGGUGAAAUGCGUAGAUAUAUGGAAGAACACCAGUGGCGAAGGCGGCUGUCUGGUCUGUAACUGACGCUGAGGCUCGAAAGUAUGGGUAGCAAACAGGAUUAGAUACCCUGGUAGUCCAUACCGUAAACGAUGAAUGCUAAGUGUUGGAGGGUUUCCGCCCUUCAGUGCUGCAGCUAACGCAUUAAGCAUUCCGCCUGGGGAGUACGGCCGCAAGGCUGAAACUCAAAGGAAUUGACGGGGGCCCGCACAAGCGGUGGAGCAUGUGGUUUAAUUCGAAGCUACGCGAAGAACCUUACCAGGUCUUGACAUACUAUGCAAAUCUAAGAGAUUAGACGUUCCCUUCGGGGACAUGGAUACAGGUGGUGCAUGGUUGUCGUCAGCUCGUGUCGUGAGAUGUUGGGUUAAGUCCCGCAACGAGCGCAACCCUUAUUAUCAGUUGCCAGCAUUAAGUUGGGCACUCUGGUGAGACUGCCGGUGACAAACCGGAGGAAGGUGGGGAUGACGUCAAAUCAUCAUGCCCCUUAUGACCUGGGCUACACACGUGCUACAAUGGAUGGUACAACGAGUUGCGAACUCGCGAGAGUAAGCUAAUCUCUUAAAGCCAUUCUCAGUUCGGAUUGUAGGCUGCAACUCGCCUACAUGAAGUCGGAAUCGCUAGUAAUCGCGGAUCAGCAUGCCGCGGUGAAUACGUUCCCGGGCCUUGUACACACCGCCCGUCACACCAUGAGAGUUUGUAACACCCAAAGUCGGUGGGGUAACCUUUUAGGAACCAGCCGCCUAAGGUGGGACAGAUGAUUA
rnacentral:rRNA from 2 species